UUGGGAACUUCAGUAUGCAUCCCCACCUUGCAAAGUCAUGUGGUUGAGGAAUGGUUUGUUGUAAGAUAGUUUGGAUAAAGAACGUGUGAUAUCUCCUUAAGUACAAGGAUAAUUUUUGGUCUGUAGUUAUAACAGCUGUUGAGAUAAUAGAGUUUCUUGUGUGCUAAUUUGGAGUAAAGAAAAUGCUUCUCCUAGUGUAGUAGCCUGUCUGCAAGGUCAUAGAAUCACAGAUUGGCUUGGGUUGGAUGAAGAUGAAGGUUUUAAUGAUUUAAAUAAUUAAUUGAGGUCCUGCUCUGGGAACGAAGGGGAUCAGCUGAACGUUAUCGUGCUGAAGGAGAAUGAUUUCUUUGCUGGGUCUACAGUGCCAUCUACAGCACCAAGACUGCAGCUGAAAAUAAAUUCUAGCACCUAGGUCAUCCCCAUCCAGAUGCAUUUGGAGAGCUGAGCACAGCAAUGUGUAGAAGGAUUUCAUGGACCCACAGUGUGAUGCCAAGGAGGCGUACAGCCUUGCUCAUCACUGCACCUUCCCCCAGUGGUACUUGAAAGUUAUGAUGGACCACAGAGCUCCUUAGAAGUAAAUAUGUACCGUCUUUGCACUCUUUACUUUCUACAAAAUUUUUGUAAUUUAAAAAAAUGAAAUCAACAAUGAAGAUUU